GAGGGAGGGAGGGAUAGAGAGAGGGGAGGAGGAUGGAGGAAGGGUGAGAGAUCAAGAGAGAGGUAAGGGAGGAAAAUGGAUAGGUAGAGAGUGGGGGAUCGAACAGAGGGAGAAAGGGAGGGGGAGGGAAAGAGAAAAGAGGAGGAUGGGAGAGGGGAAGAUUGAUAGGGAGAGUGAUGUUGAAGAGAGAGAAAUGGGAAGGGAGGGAAAUGUUUGUGAAUGACUAGUAAUGUGGAGUUAGGAUGAGGAGUAAGCGGAGGAGGGGAUGGUAGAUCUCCAGAGUGAGGAGGAGGGUGGGCGAGGAGACGAAGGAGAGGGGAGGAGGAUGCUGAAGAGGGGUGAGUGUGAAGAGGAGGGACGAGGAGGGGCGAGUCUGGGGGUGAGAAAGAGAUGGAGGAGGAGGGGUGAGGAUGGGGGGGGGUGAGACUGAGGAAGAGGGAGGAUAGAGGAUACAGAGGAGGGGUGAGGGGGGUAAAGCAGCUCUAACAUCUGGAUUAUAUUACCCGCUGCUGGGAAAAUGUGAAGAGGAAGUUUUUUUCCCCGGGUGAGAGCGUCGGUGGCGGCGCGAUACGCCACACAUAACCACUUGAGCGGCGAGGAGCGGGGCACGCCGGCUCCCUACGGAGAACAGAUGGCUGCUGGAACUUCAAUACAAUUACAUCAAUAACACAGAAUAACAGUGUUCUGAGACACCGGUGCUGUGCCACCAGGCUCCCCGCGGCUCGCUAGACACACGACCACUCCUCUCAUCGCUCCUCUCUCUGCUUCUCCCUCUGCUCUCCUUCCUUCGCUGUCUUUUCUCAGCUACUCUCCCCUACCUUCUGCUUGCUCUCUAAUCUGUCCCAUCUCUUUUAUCUCUCCUCUCUCUUGUCACCUCUGCUCGCUCCUCUCCUCUCUCCUCUUUCCUCUCUUCUCUCUGAUCUUUCCUCUCUCCUCCCACCUCUCUCCUCCCUCCACUGUUGAUCCGUCCUUUAGAUACACACAAACACGAACACACACACACGAACACACACACACACACACACACACACACACACACACACACACACACACACACACACACACACACACACACACACACACACACACACACACACACACACACACACACACACACAUAUAUGCACACAUGCAAACAUGCACAGGCAACACAUGUUUGUUUUGUUUGUUUGUGUUCAUGUUAGCUCAGCUGCUACACGUGUCCUUAUAUAGGUUCUCAAGUCACAUUGAGAUCAACAUUCAUACAAAUAGAUAAGCUUGUUUGCAUACCUGUUGUGUGUGUAUGUGUGUGUGUGUGUGUGUGUGUGUGUGUGUGUGUGUGUGUGUUGGGUAGGUGUGUGUUUGUGUGCUUGUACGUGUGAGUGUGUGCUACGUGUGUACUCACCCUUUCAUUAGUAAGAGGUUUAAACCCUUUAAAGCCUCUGAACCCUAAAUCAGCUCAAGAUGAAGUGAAGUCUGUUCUUGAUUUUCCCAUACUGUCUGGCGCGUACACCUACAAACCCAUACAUACAAACACAAAAACUCACACACACACACACACACACGCACACACACACACACACACACACACACACACACACACACACACACACACACACACACACACACACACACACAUCUUUCCUGCAUACCUUCAAAAUCUGUGAGACACAGUCAGUACUGUAUAGUCAAAUAUCCUGCAUGUUCUCCAUGUAUGGUAUGUUCUGGUGUUUUAUAAAUAACUGUUUGUCUGUUGGUUCAACAUAGGAGAGGGUUCGGGUAGCUUGGGUCUCAGUGGGUAAUGAGAGUGUGAGUGUGUGCGCAUGUAUUUGGUACGUGUGCAUUUGUGAAUUUGUACAGCCUGUGUGUAUGUUUGUGUGCGUGCAUGUUAGGGAGUAUUAAGAAAACGGGUGAGCAUGCAUUGGUUUGCAAGUGUAUUAACUGUUUGUGGGAAUUCAUAAGGCUGUGUGUGUUUGUUUGUGUGGACGUGUGUGUGUGUGUGUGUGUGUGUGUGUGUGUGUGUGUGUGUGUGUGUGUGUUUGAAAAAGAAUGUUCAAGAUGCAUGUGUGAGCAUGUGGGAUGUGUGUUUGUGUGAGCAUAUGGGAUGUGCGUUUGUGUGUGUGUGUGUGCGUGUGUGUGUGUUUAUAUAUGUGUGUGUGUGUGUGUGAUUGUGCGUGUGUGGGGAGCAUGCUCUCAGGCUGUGCUGGCCUCCUCAGCAGGCCUGAUGGGGAGCAGAUGUGAGGAGGCUGGCGGCCGGGCAGCCAGCCAGAGCAGCUGGGCCAGAUUACUAACAACAGCAUUCCUGGAGACUCUGGGAGAGAGGGGAGGGAGAGGGGGGAGAUGAGGGGGUUGGGGGAAGGAUGGGGAUAGAGAAUGAGAGACAUAGAGACAGAGGGAGGGAGAAAGACGAAAAGAGACGAAAGAGUAACGAGGGAGACAGGGACAGAGAGAGCUUUAAGAGAGGAGUGAGUGAGAUGGGGGGAGAGAGAGAGAGAGAGAGAGAGAGAGAGAGAGAGAGAGAGAGACACACCCAUAGAGAGACACAAAGAGAGACAGAGAGACGGACUGAGGGAAACCGACAGAGACCAUAGAGAGAAAGACUGAGAGAGAUACACAGAGAAUCAGAGAAAAAAACAGACAGAGAGUAGAAAUGGGGACUUGGUUUAGCUAAUGCUAAUCGAAUGCAGCUGCAGUUCCUUCACAAAGAAGCAAGAAAAACACAUCCACAUC
ensembl:lncRNA